GAUGAACGCUGGCGGCGUGCCUAAUACAUGCAAGUCGAGCGAACCACUUCGGUGGUGAGCGGCGAGCGGGUGAGUAACACGUAGGUGAUCUGCCCAUCAGACGGGGACAACGAUUGGAAACGAUCGCUAAUACCGGAUAGGACGAAAGUUUAAAGGUGCUUCUGGCACCGCUGAUGGAUGAGCCUGCGGCGCAUUUGCUAGUUGGUAGGGUAAAGGCCUACCAAGGCGACGAUGCGUAGCCGACCUGAGAGGGUGAACGGCCACACUGGGACUGAGACACGGCCCAGACUCCUACGGGAGGCAGCAGUAGGGAAUCUUCGGCAAAUGGGGCGAAAGCCUGACCGAGCAACGCCGCGUGAAUGAUGAAGGCCUGGUU
rnacentral:rRNA from 1 species